rnacentral:rRNA from 1 species
UGGGGAAUAUUGGGCAAUGGGCGAAAGCCUGACCCAGCCACGCCGCGUGAGUGAUGAAGGCCUUCGGGUCGUAAAGCUCUGUGGGGAGGGACGAACAAAUCUGGGGCUAAUCACCCGGAUCCUGACGGUACCUCCUUAGCAAGCACCGGCUAACCCUGUGCCAGCAGCCGCGGUAAUACAGGGGGUGCAAACGUUGCUCGGAAUCAUUGGGCGUAAAGCGCACGUAGGCGGUCUGUUAUGUCGGAUGUGAAAGCCCUUGGCUUAACUGAGGAAGUGCAUCCGAAACUGGCAGGCUAGAGUACUAAAGAGGGUCGCGGAAUUCCCGGUGUAGAGGUGAAAUUCGUAGAUAUCGGGAGGAACACCGGUGGCGAAGGCGGCGACCUGGGUAGAUACUGACGCUGAGGUGCGAAAGCGUGGGGAGCAAACAG